UUUUAGAAUCCUCCAUUGAGGAGGUGAGAUAGUUAUAAAUAAGAGGUGACCUUAUUUGAUCAAACCAUCGAAUGAGAUAGAAUCCAAUCCAAAGCCAUCCUAAUAAAAACAUUUUUCAAAAGUUCUCUUAUAAAGAUUUCUUGUGUAAUACGUACAGAGCAUUUAUUUUUUAAGUGUUAUCUUGUUUCUUAAUAAACUUAGUAAUUUUCUAAGAA
rnacentral:lncRNA from 1 species